GAUGAACGCUGGCGGCGUGCCUAAUACAUGCAAGUCGAGCGAACAGACGAGGAGCUUGCUCCUUUGACGUUAGCGGCGGACGGGUGAGUAACACGUGGAUAACCUACCUAUAAGACUGGGAUAACUUCGGGAAACCGGAGCUAAUACCGGAUAACAUGUUGAACCGCAUGGUUCAAUAGUGAAAGACGGUUUUGCUGUCACUUAUAGAUGGAUCCGCGCCGCAUUAGCUAGUUGGUAAGGUAACGGCUUACCAAGGCAACGAUGCGUAGCCGACCUGAGAGGGUGAUCGGCCACACUGGAACUGAGACACGGUCCAGACUCCUACGGGAGGCAGCAGUAGGGAAUCUUCCGCAAUGGGCGAAAGCCUGACGGAGCAACGCCGCGUGAGUGAAGAAGGUCUUCGGAUCGUAAAACUCUGUUAUUAGGGAAGAACAAAUGUGUAAGUAACUAUGCACGUCUUGACGGUACCUAAUCAGAAAGCCACGGCUAACUACGUG
rnacentral:rRNA from 1 species